GCAAAUUCAUGUUUAAAAAGUGCUUUUCUGUUUGUCCAGGAGGGAGAGCGACUGUGGAGAUGAACCUGAUGUCCACACAGUGUGUUCCAGGUGAAGCAGCAGCAGCCCUACUGUCGUUCUACUGUACAGUUUAACAUUCAGGCUUCUCUAGUUCUGACUGAUGGGGAGUCUGCAGUAUUGAAACUCCUGUGAGGUCAUCAGCACUUUAAGAGACACUGAGGAGUGAGUGCUUGUUCAGCUCCCUGUGAAGGCUGUCAGAACUGCCCUAAUGUGAACAAUGCAGUCGUGAGCUAUGAAGCAGGAUUUGGAGUGUUGUCCCAUACCUGACCAGUGGGUGGCAGCAGUUCUCUACUGCUUCCAAGGAACUGAUCCCACCCACAACAGAAUCAAAACACAAGAAGUCCCCCCAGAACACAUCAGUGCAGAGGACAGCAACAUCAACCUCACACAGCAGGAUGUCAGAAGGAACAGUUACACACCUCGACAUCUAAGUAUACAAAUCAACAUUCACCAUUUGAUUCUCGGAACCCAACACCAUCAGAGAAGUUUUUAAACAGUGUGGUUACCAAACUGGGCCUUUGACAAAACCACAAAAAGACAGCAGAAAGUGCAGAAGUAUCUGAGAAACUCAGUAGCUUCAAGUAACACUACAUCUAUGUGCACUUUGAGUAGAAUCUCAUUCACUCUGAGGACAGCAUCGUACACAUUUUGGCUAAACAAGAGGCGUGAAAGAAGGCAUCUAUGCCAAACUGGAACAACCAUCACUAAACAGAUUCCUACAACUAAAAGGGGCCUCCUAAAUACUAGCUAUUAACAUAGUAAAUAUGGCCUUAUAUGGCUAGGUUGACUCAAAAUAAAUGCUGGUCUGUUACCAAUGUAAAUGUUGGAUAGCUUGGUUUCACUGGAACUUAAAUUGUUGGUGUUUCCAAAGAAGUACACAAUCAUAUUUGAAUUAUUACAAAACUAAACUGACGGAGUUGAUGGGUAACAGUGAAGGCUUUUUAAUUAUCUAUUUUUAUAUGGUAAAUACUCAGGAAGACUCUUUCUGCCUUCAGUUCUUGUUUUGUCUGUCUAUGUUAGAUUAUUAGUAAACAGCACUUUCUAACUUCUAAAGUAGGAAAAAAUGAUGCAUUUCUAUAUAUCGUAAUAGACAUAAAUUGGUUUUUAGUUAGUUUCAUGCGUUAUAGUGUACAUUAAUCACCUGUUUAUACUAAACAGUGAAAGCAGAUGAGAAAAAUAACCCUCUUUUCAGCUCACAAAAGCAACAAUAUUGGAAUAUUUAUCUGACAGCUCAGUCAAAAAGUUUUCACAUUUUGUCAAGUGCCCAUUUGGAUAAAACACGCUUCUGUUAUUUCUGGUAACAAGUUGUUAUUUUUGCUUUACUUAGCUGAACCUGUCAGAAACUAAUGUUAUUCUUGAGUCAUGUUUCAAAAUCUUUUUGGACAAUAAGCACAUUUCAGUUUCUAAGAUAAUUUGGCAUAACUCUGGUAAAGCUGUGUAUAAAAAUGAGUUGAACACAAGUCAGGCCUGAAAGGAGGUCUCAGUCUGUUUUGUAAAAGCAUCACUUCUUUUGAUUUGCUACCAAAUGUCCAUUCAAGCAUGUUGUAUUUCAUUUUGUCAUGUUUUCUAAAUCUUACUUUAUUAAACCUCAAUUGAUAAUAUUCAGAUUUUUCUUACUUUUGUUAUUUAUUGUCAUUCUAAUGCCUCUGUGUUUAAAAAAUGAGGUGAGUAAAUAUCCUGAGUCGACCCUGACAACUGUUUCUUAUUAGAUGCAGCAGUUUUCGUGCCCUAAAGCAAGACAAUGAGGCUGGAAACAAACUGAAAUAUUCCAUUUUUGGGUUUAGUGGUGACAGAGAACUGGCCUCAGCAUUAAAACUGUCUCAGUUCCAGGUGGAAAGACAGACAGAUUGUUGAUAAACCGACAAAAUUAACUUAUAAAAGAAGAGGAAGAAUGGCAGGGUAAAAUCUCCACAAACCAUAAAAAAAUAAGUUUGUGUUUCUGCUCUGCAAACUCAGCAGAAUCUCCUGGACCAGAUGUUUGAAGCGGGCCUCCGUCCCACCAUAGUGGAAAAAUACGCAUCAGUCUGCAGUGACUGUGACUGAGCUGUAUUCUAACAACUAAAAUAAACCAUUUUAAUCAAGAAAACGUCCCUAAAGAAUCCCUACAAUGUGUAUAUUUGAGGUUUCAUUCGGCCAAACUAGAAGCAUCACUGAACUGGAACUAGACUUGGAUCAGAAAGGAGGACUGGUGUGUUUUGUUUGGGUUUAAAAUGACCAUACUGGUGGUUUUGCAUGUUACAACACUCUGAAUUAUAGCUGCAUUAGUUCCUCUGUGACAAUGUCAGCAGAAACCAAAACAUUACAGGUAUCAUUAAAGUUGACUUCACGGCAGAGCAGGUGUGUCGGACUACAUUAAGCUUUACUGUUACACUUCGUAAAGUGGACACUCAGUAGUUUUUCUAUCAUCCCAGACAGCUAUUGGUUUCCAUUAUGUUGCUUUUAGGAGACUCAUUGUCAAUGCAUUGUAAAUGACACUAUGAUGCAACAUUUACAUGAAUAUUUUUGGACUUUCAUCACUGUAAAUGAUGACACAACUGCAGUGUAAUUCUGCUAAUUCAUUUUCACCCCUUAUGGAAACCAACAGCUGCCUGAAACAACAGAGAAAUACUUAAAACUGUAUAGGAUGCAUUCAAAAAUAUCAGCAAAAUGGUUAAAUACACUUGAAGUAAAGGAGUGCAACAUGCAAAAACACCAGAAAGUUCCUUCUAAGGGUAGAGUUAUACAAAGGAACACAUUAAGAACAACUAUGGGUUCAAUCUGUGGUGUACAGAUGGACAAAAAUAGUUCAAAUUUACCAUUAGCAUUUGUAUCACUUGUUUGUCAUUUCUAGCUAGAAGAAACCUGCUGUUUGCAUAAAAACUCAAGAGUAAUCAACAUUUGACAUGACUUUGAAUCAUUUGGGGCUUUAAACUUACCAAAUAAUUCAAGUUAAAUGUUGGUGUACAAGUAUAGUAAACAUUUAGCUGCAGCUGUAAGGAUUUAUCUAAAGAUGUUUGGAUAAUGCUUUAUUCUUUGGGUCUGUAAUUUCAGAAUAAUUUUAUAGCAAGUUUUUCCCCAAAGAUAUAGGCAAUUUAACUCCAAUUAUGCAGUUUAUUUUCAGUUCUUUCUAGCUGUAUUCUGUCUUUUUCUGCUUAAAAUGUACAAUUAGUCUACUGAUAAAUACAUGCAGGUCAAAGUUUAACGUAACAAAUUCAUUAAUGGUUAUGUGUGGUUCUCCAGAAAUACAGAGUUCUUAACAAGAAAUUAUUUGCAAAGUACUACCAAUUGCAGCAUGUUGGAGCUACACGAUGUGGCUAAGAAAGAAAAUGUGUAUUUAAUUUUUUGCAUUUUUAACUUGUUCAGUACCUAUUUUUCUCCCAAUUAGUGGUCAGAGUCUGUAUAUCUGCAGACAAUAGCCAGUAAAAGUUAAAUAUAUAGCAGCAAAAGAUUUAAUUCUUCUCUAACUACAGACUGAGCUUGAACAAACCCUCAAAGGUUUUUAUCAUCACCGCUGCACAGCCAGUUAACUGCUGAUAGUUUGAUAGCUGUGGCAUACCGUUCUCUCUGGCACGCACCGAGAAAAAUAACAAACUGAAAGGUUAGUUGGCGGCAGCGAGCCUUGGCUUUGGACGCGUACCAACGGCUAAAGAGCUACAUCAUGCUGUUGGCUAACGUCAGUGAGGCUUUACUUUUAACUUCAUACACUUCCAUAUGUCACGGGGACGGAUGCUGGCAGCACAUCUCCUCCUCCUCCGUUUGGUUUAUUAUCACGUCGUCAGCCUCUCCCAGACUGAAGCUGGGAAAGCGUUCAACGAGGGUCAGGCGCUAUCACACAUGCUACAUGGAUGUCAGACUGUUGUUUCUGUGUCGGCUGCCAUGUUUUCCCCUGCUGCCACAUCACAGCGGAAAGCAGAUGGUUUUGUAGCAGAGGUGGCAGGCGACUGGCGGAGCGGCAAUUUCAUGACAACCGAGAUGGUUGGAGUAGAAAAACGGAAUCAUUAGCUGCUUUGUAAAAGUUAAAAAUAACCAAAAGUUUGUCACAAGCUCAGUCUCCAGAACGGCAUCACCUGCCUGCACACAGUAAACAUUAAGAAGAAGUAGCAGCUGUCUCUCAUAGUUUUAAUUAUCUACCUGAUCAAAGAGCGCUUUAGCUGCUCUGCAUUAUUCUCAUUCCAGAUAUUUCCUUACUGUUGUUUUCUUUCUUUUCAUCUGCUCUAAUAUUCCUCUGCUCAUAUUCUGACCACUAAACCCUGUUUUAUCUCCUGGUUAUUCCACACAGGUUCAGGUAUUUAGGUCGUAACGUUGCAGGAACUCCAGACACAACAUUCAGGAGUGCCUGUGAGGUUGGAUAUUUAAAAUUCCUGCCGGCUCUGGAUGACAGAAGCUUCCCAAUGAAACAGAUUUUAAUGCUGUGUUCGGUUUUCAGUGAUGUGAGCUAGAACUGCGGAGGGUAAUUUAGUAACUAUUAUUUUUAACCUUUAAAUGUUAGUUUGUUUGAGAAUUCAUUCUGAAUUUUUUAGUUCAGAAUUGAGAAUGACCAAGCCUUUUUUAUCUGUUACUUUAAAUGACAAAUAUUAUUAAUUUAAUUGCUUGAAACACACUCUGAUUAUGGUUAAUUCUGCUAAUUUAUUAAGUUUUAUAUCAUAUUUUGUCACAGUUUAAGAGUGUGUAUUGUUUUCUGUUCUACAUUUCCUGCUGUUAUUGCUGGUCUUUUGUUAUUCUUAAAUGGAUAAUAAAAACUGCUUCAGUAGCA